UUGAAGCGAAGAGUCGGGACGCAGCGAUAGAUUGUGACAUUUAAGGACGAAAUAAUUAUAGCGUUAUGCUUAAGUUGAGUAAUUACAUUGUUCGAAAGGCGAUCUCUCGAGUUGUCUUAGUAGCAUAGGAUAAAUAAUAUUUUUAGCUGAGUCAAGAUUUAGAUAUUUGAUGCCAGGAGUGAUUUGGGGUUAAGGUGUGGCUUUCAGCAAAAGGGCGAUUUGCCUAAAGUGUUACAGAAUUAAUAUAUAUCUAUUUGUUAGGUUUUGUGUGUGUGGUUAUCGUUAGCAUUUGAUGCGACUGACACCGGUAGGAUUGGGUGAGAUAUUUAAAUCCAGGAAGCAUUCGAUUACACAAUCAUUCUGGAAUAUGUUACAAAGCGACAUUCGAUGAGCCUUAUAACAAUCGCUGUAACUUUUUGGAAGUAGGUGAACCCACGUCAUUAACGGAUGGAAUCUGUUACAUUCCAUUGGAAGAGCUCGCGACUUGGUCAGAGACCGCGCGCGCACAGUUCAGAGUGUAGCCGUACAGGGCGUGCGCAAGUCCGCUGGCAAGUAGACCGUCUGUAGGCUAUGUCUGCGGGUGAAAAAAGCUUAUCGCGUUGAAUAUAAAGGAUAUUACGCGGAUAAUAACUGAUCGUCGCACCGCGUGCCAACAUUACAUAAUAAUCGAUCUUCAAGACACAAAUCGACAAUUGUACCAGUUGAAGUAGCCUCACAUCUGGAUUGAAGACAUCAGUUUCAUAUCAGUGUCAACUGUGCCAUUAAAUGGGUUUCUUCUUAUGUCUGAAUGACGUCCAACUUCUGAAGGACAAUCACGCCUGCACUGAGACAGGUUAUGCCUUCACGAGAGGAGAAGCAGGAUGUAUUUGUGAUGUCUGUACCGGACGAGUCCCUGGUCCAGCUACACUCCAUUCCCACGUUUUCUGAGUAUCAUCAAGAUCAUUCUCUGGGAGACCUACUGGCUGACCUGCAGCAGUUCUUCACUGGCAAGCUUUAUGUCCCUGUGUAGCAGCUAAAGCUGCCAGCUGAAGAACUGUUGUGGUUGGCUCAUUCCUGGCACAUCAGCUCUGAGAUGACAGUGCAGAGGUAAAGGUAUUGUGGGCUCAGGAAUUUAGUCCUUCCAGGCAGUCAAUAAGGCUGUCUGAACCAAUCCAAGAUCAGACAGGUCCCAUUUUCUUUCUUACCCUGCAUCAGCCUUUCUCCAUCCACUCACGUGAGCUGCCCGAGCUUUGCUGUUAGUUCUUCUCAGGCAUAAACAAAACUACUGAGUUCAUGCUGACUCAUUCCUGGCCCGGCAAGGCCCCAUUGCCCUUAUUUGGGUGUGGUGCAGGCAGGGAGUGGCAUUCUGCGCACUCAUCAGAGCUCACAGAAGUGGCCAUCUUGUUCUGCUGUGGCAAAAUGGAAAGCUGGAGGACAGAUGGUUUUGUCUUGUCUGAUGUGCAGUGGCAGGAAAUAUUAUGUUAAUCUUAAGAACUAAAGAAGCUGUUGUAGCAUUCUUUUAGAUGUUUCGGUUUAUUUUGGAAACGUGCCAGGCUAUGACAUGUUUGUGUGUUGAAAGUCAGAGUUCCUCCAUAGAAUGACCGGUGAAAGCCUGCAGUGCGUAUGUAACUUCCUCUUUCCCUUCUGAGGCCAUUCUAUGGCAUAAAUAUGAUUUUUGGUCUGUUUGUUCUACUUGUGCACAUGGAGUACAAAUCUGACCUUUGUCAUACUCUGUAUGCACACACACAGACCUGCGUAUAUACACACCCUUACCAUGCACAUGACUCUAGGCAAGCUGUAAACAUAUCAAGGCUAAUUUCAGAUCUGAAAACAGGAUAUGAAAAUGUGUCCUUUUAAAUCCUCCCAGCCAGAUGAAAAGAAUAUUCUCUCCAUUUAACAGAACCAGAUGCCCUGUGUCGUGUGUUGUGCCAAAUCUUACCCUGUUGAAUUCCAACCCCACUGAACCCUAAAGCAAUUCAUUUGGCUGACAGAACUUAUUUUUGGUAGUUUCUAAUCAAUGCCUGAGAAAACUUAAAAAAAAAAUGGCUUUGUAAUGCAUUGUAUUGUCAUUUAUAUUAUAUAUCACAUUAUAUAAUUAUGAUCAAAAUAAACAUUUCUCUCUGUUUUAAUCUGUGGCUAGCAAGCUAUCUAAUUAGCAUACUAGCAUAGCAUACUACUAACCUAUCAGAAUCUAUACAAUUAUCUUACCCUACUUAAGUUAUCAUACACAAGUUAUUAAUCACAACAAGGCAUCAUUGAGGGGUUUCCCCAUCCAGGGAUCCAUCCAUUACUGACCUUUUUAUUUAAAAAACAAAACAACUUUCUGGAGAAGCUCUUAUCAGGACAUACCUCACUGCUGCGCACAUGUGACCGUACCUUACCUAUGGCUCUGACCUUCACACAAGGGCUUCUUCAGGUCAUGAGCGAAGAUUGCCUACCUGAUCCGCUCUAGUCUAAUGUCAAUCUCCCCGCAAGUGCAUUAAAAGAUUGUUGAGGGUCGUUGUCUCAGCUCCUUUUAAAGAUAUGGCACACACAUAAGAAGCUCUGCAUCUGUGGUGCAGGUGCAUUUUGACCACAAUUAGCUUGCAUGUUACUGUUAGAACUCCACAAUCUAACCACCUUCCACCUGCUUCUGUCCACUCAUAAAAAGACUAGAGUCAGAAUCAAUGUGUGAUUAAACUUGUAGUUUAGAUUACAUUACUGGUUCAUCGGGUUCUGACUGUUUUGGGUCUAAAUGAACAGACUCUCCAUUUUUGUUCUUGUCAAAAUGUGAUUUCAAUAAUGUAAUGGCAAAGUGAUUGGUCAAAUAAAGAAAUAAAAUGGCUUUAGGCAAAAUAACUUUGUAUUUUUAUUUAUUUAAAAUAAGGUAAUUUAUGAUUGAUACUACUUUCAUUAUUUAUGAAUGUAAACAUGAUGAUACAAGAGAACAA